CAGUAGCCGCGGUAAUACGUAGGUCCCGAGCGUUGUCCGGAUUUAUUGGGCGUAAAGCGAGCGCAGGCGGUUAGAUAAGUCUGAAGUUGAAGGCUGUGGCUUAACCAUAGUACGCUUUGGAAACUGUUUAACUUGAGUGCAAGAGGGGAGAGUGGAAUUCCAUGUGUAGCGGUGAAAUGCGUAGAUAUAUGGAGGAACACCGGUGGCGAAAGCGGCUCUCUGGCUUGUAACUGACGCUGAGGCUCGAAAGCGUGGGGAGCAAACAGGAUUAGAUACCCCUGUAGUCCCUGUCUCUUAUACC
rnacentral:rRNA from 1 species